rnacentral:rRNA from 1 species
AUUGAACGCUGGCGGCAGGCCUAACACAUGCAAGUCGAACGAGUGGCGGACGGGAGAGUAAUGUCUGGGAAACUGCCUGAUGGAGGGGGAUAACUACUGGAAACGGUAGCUAAUCCCGCAUACCAUCAGAUUUGCCCAGAUGGGCUUAGCUAGUAGGUGGUGUAAAGGCUCACCUAGGCGACGAUCCCUAGCUGGUCUGAGAGGAUGACCGGCAACACUGGAACUGAGACACGGUCCAGAUUCCUACGGGAGGCAGCAGUGGGGAAUAUUGGACAAUGGGCGAAAGCCUGAUGCAGCCAUGCCGGGUGUAUGAAGAAGGCCUUGGGGUUGUAAAGUACUUUCAGCGGGGAGGCGUUACCCGCAGAAGAAGCACCGGCUAACUCCGUGCCAGCAGCCGCGGUAAUAC